UUUCUAAUUGCUUGAAAUUUGGUAAUUUCCUUAAUGUUUUCCUGGCCGACCUGUGCUGGUAUUGUAAUUAAGAGCUAAUACACCAUUCUCUGGUGAACUGCAGCUGCGGCCGAAUUUGAUUGUGUGCAUCAUCCUGCAGAUAUUUUGAAAUUUUGUGGACGCUUCUGUUGUGCUGCGUUCCUGCUCCGCCCGUGUUUUAUAGUGUUGCGUCCCUGUUGCGCCUUUGCAAUAGUGUGUGCGUUGUGCUUUAGACACGUUGAAAUUGUUUAUAUGCUUCUGCUGUGCUGCGUUCCUGCUUCACCCGUGUAUUAAAUUGCAGCGUUCCUGUUAACAUAAGCAUCGUCGUUUAAGUACAAAACCGCGUAACUGACAUUUGAUGCUAAAAAUUGGAUUUGCUCACACAAGUUCUUGGCUCAAUCCUUAUCCAUUCUUCCUGAUACAUAUUAGCCAAAAAUGCGAUUGCUUUUUAAAAAAAGAUAACCAUUUUGAAAUAUGAGUGUUUUCACUCUCUAGAAAAUAAUGUAUGCAACCUCGCUGGGUUUGCAUUAUCUUGAUACGCGGUUUGGCAUUUUACUGAUACACGGUUUUGUACUUUAAACGACGAUAUGUAGAUGUAUGUACAUAUAUAUCACAUAUAUUGACUUAGAUAUGCAUAGACAAUUAAUGUGUACAUAAUUUUUUUUAUGUUGAAACUAGAUAUGUAUAUAGUAUGUUAUUAUUAUUAUUCGGUUCAAAAAAGUCCUAUCUCAAAUGAAAAUA
rnacentral:lncRNA from 1 species